rnacentral:lncRNA from 10 species
ACUAGGAAGGUGGGACGUUGGAGGGGUGGCCGCAUGGAGUGAGUACUGUCUCUGGCCACCGAGCAGAGCCAGUGACAGCAGCGUCCUGGUAGGCAGGCAGGCGUAUCAGGUUUCAGAGGAUGCGGCUGGGAACGGGAGUAGAGGUGAGGGGUCGUUGCAUCUGUCGCGGUGUGUAUCUUUUGGGGGUUCAGCGCCACCAGCGACUUGGGCCUCAUUCAUCGCGCUUACAUUUCUCCACCUCAUUUGAAGAACGAGCUUCGUAGCCCACGGAGCUGAGGUAUAUGAGCUCCCUGAAAGCACAAAGCAGUUAUUUCCAUCUUCAGAUCAUUCAGAGAUUAUGAAGGCACAAACCCUGCCUUCAAUUUGCUUAUAGUCAAGUGGAGCAGACACAAGUCAAUGAUUGCAGUAUAGCCACUGAAGUAAUCUAAAAGAGGUGAGUGUGGCACUUAACCUCUCCUGGGAGGGGGAGGAAUAAGGCAGUGUUUCCAAGAGGUGAUUUUGGAGCUAUACAGGCAUUAGGUAGACAAGGAAGGGGAGGUCCAUUCUGGGUGCCUAGGACUCUGUGGCUGAUUUAUAAAUCGUAAAU